rnacentral:lncRNA from 1 species
ACACAUAAACGCCAAAUAUAGAGAGAUCUGAAGCAUCACAGGAUUCUUUUUUUUUCCUUUAUCUUUUCUUCCCUUCUUAGCGCACACACGACAUACACAAAUCCUUACUCUCUCAACACAUAUAUAGACAUACAUACACACAGAUAUUGGAGAUGAGGGAGCUGGACAGAAAGAAAACUAGACACAGAGAGGCAUUUAAGCAUGAGAGAGGCAAUCAGAGAGAUUGAGAGGUUUGAGAGAGAGAGAGAGAGAGCUCGAUAAUUGAGAGAGAACGGCGAGGAGAGUUCCUUUUCGGCGACCAGAUCUCGUCGAAGCUCCUAAAAAUAGCCAAAAUCGGCGAUCGACCCUAUUGAAACAACAAAAAUUGAUGACCGAACCUGACCCAUUUCUACCCAAUUCCAACGAGAUCCACCAAAAAAUGAGAGAAAAGGUAAAAUGGUUCUAUUUAUUUGUGGUGUUCUAUUCUGAUUGGUUAGUUCGAUAUUUCGAUCGAGUUGGCGUGUUCAUGUUGAGUUCUUUGAGACGAGGUCCUGAGUUCGUUAGCUCUAUUGAAUAAUUUGGGGAUUGAAAUAAAAAUUGAGGUUUGAUUCUUCAACUCUAUCUCUUUUAUUUUUACCUCAAUAUGAUAUGUUGAUGUUGUGAUUUGUAUGAUUUAUUUUGGGUUGAUGAUAUGAUCUUGAUUGUGUGGUUGAGUAAUUCUAAUUUUUUUGAUUGAUUCUAUGUUUGGUUAAUUAACCAGGAAUGAUUUGAACUCAUUUGGAGUAAAUUUUAAUUUGGGGAGACGUAGACGUUGAUAUAUAUGGAUGUGAAUUAAAUUUGAUUCCUUGUUAGUGGUUUGAUUUGAAAUAAACAUUGAUAUUACUAAACAUGAUAGUAUCAUGAUAGGUCGAGUUGGGUAGGCAAAUGGUAGGCUCGGGUAGGCAACUUCAGGACUCGUGAAAUAUUAAAUGCUUGAACUAUGUGUUGAAUGGCUUGGUUUCAUUGCUUUUGAAUUCAAUAUAUCAUUUGGCUGGGAAAUGCCCCGAGGUUUCAUGUAAUUAUUCACCGGAAAAUGCCCUGACGUAUUAUGUCUUCUAAGGAGGUUCGUGAUCAAGGCCCGAGGCAUUGGGUAAAGCAUUAGAGUGUAUUUUAGGAGUAGUUUAGAAUAAUGUAGGUUUAUAUUUUUCUGCAUUUUAUUUUUCUUUUGGACUGUAUAAUUGGACUGGACAUUAUAUUUUGGAUUGUUUUGUCUUGUUUAUGUGAUUGAUUAUUUUUAUGUGUUUUGUGUGGUUUAUACAUUCGUCAUAAAAAAUUAGCCGAUAUAUAAUCCGCGACCGCGGUCAAACCACGGGACCAAGGGGUCACUAACACCUUUCCCUUGGGCAAUAGAAUUCCUUAGCUAGAAUCUCUAUUCGUAAAUCAGUUUUGAAAGAGUCAAAAACCAUUUCAAAAAUGAUUUUCAAAGGUGACUUGGCACACCAGAUUAUGUCAAGCGGCGAAUCUUAAUAAAAAAUAUAAAUAAUCCUUUUUCAAAAUAAAUUUUUAAUAUUUUGUCACUUUACUAAUAAAAACUCUUUCAAACCUUAAAAUAUAAUCUUUUCGGUUGAAAGAGGGGGUGCGACACUCACUUCUACUGCGCCCUUUUGGAGCAGAUCCUGGUUUGAGUAUGCCUCACGAUGAUUGAUUCGAACUACCUUUGGAGCUAUUCGAGGUAAUGUUUGGAUUCCUGCUUCCGGUGUUGACUACUAUCUUUCUUUAUUUAGACUAUGUCUUUAUUCAUAUUCAGAGACAGAGUAUUCCUAUUUUGGAUAUCUUAUAUAUUUGAUCACUAGUUGUACUAGUGAUGUUCUUACAUUGUGACACCAUAUUUUAGGAUUAUGGUAUUAUUAGUUAUGUUCGCAUAGAUUGCAUGUAGCAAAGAUGAAUGAUAUAUACAUAUCUAGCUAUUAUAAUUCCCAAAGCAUGAAAGUAUAAUUUUCUAAUAUAUAGAAAGAGUGGUUUCAACUUGUCAGCUAUUUGACAUUAAAUUAAAAAAUAAGGGUAUUAAGAUCUUUACAGAAAAUUGUAAGCUCAGAUUGAAAAUCAUUUGUGCUUCUUUUUGUGGACCUAUCAAAAGUUCUAAAACAACGUUCACUCUUUUCUCAUUAAUUACAGACAUAGCCAUGUAAGAAAUUUAAGAUAAAUGUCAUCACAUGUGGCUCUUUAGCCUUGCAUUCGUUUCCACAAGUGGGCCCUCUAUCUGUCAUCUAUUUUUUAUUUUUAUUUAUCUUUUUUUUUUUUCUGAAAAGAUAUAAUUAUUCUUUAAAUUGUACUUCUCAUUAUAUUUAGGAUGAAGUUGAGUACCUACGUGC